AACAUUGGACAAUGGUCGAAAGCCUGAUCCAGCAAUGCCGCGUGUUUUAAUAAGGUAUUCGGAUUGUAAAGCACUUUAAGUUGGGAGGAAGGGGUUGAAGCUAAUACCUUCAAUCUUUGACGUUACCAACAGAAUAAGCACCUGCUAACUCUGUGCCAGCAGCCGCGGUAAUACAGAGGGUGCAAGCGUUAAUCGGAAUUACUGGGCGUAAAGCGCUCGUAGUUGGUUCAGUAAGAUGGAAGUGAAAUCCCCGGGCUUAACCUGGGAACUGCUUUCAUAACUGCUGAGCUAGAGUACGGUAGAGGGUAGUGGAAUUUCCUGUGUAGCGGUGAAAUGCGUAGAUAUAGGAAGGAAUACCAGUGGCGAAGGCGACUACCUGGACUGAUACUGACACUGAGGUGCGAAAGCGUGGGGAGCAAACA
rnacentral:rRNA from 1 species